GUGCUCAUUUCAGCAGCACAUAUACUAAAAUUGGAACGCUACAGAGAAGAUUAGCAUGGCCCCUGUGCAAGGAUGACCCACAAAUUUGCGAAGCAUUCCACAUUUUU
ensembl:snRNA U6 U6 spliceosomal RNA